GGCCUCUGGCUGGCUGCAGAGGUUCCUGGGGCUCCUUCCUCAGUGCCUGUGCCCACUGUGGACAGAAGCCCUUCCCAGCAGGGCUGCUCAGGACCCAAUCCAUGGCACCCUGGCGAUGCGCUGUCAGUUUGUGUUCAGCCCACCUGACCAUGUGGCCUCACUGGGGAUUUAAAUUGCGUUUCCCAAAGGAUCAGUGAUGUGAAAUCUCUGGUGCAGGCACGCGUCACCCCUCCCCAUACUGGGGAUUGAACCCAGGGCCUUCACACUGAGUUACAUCCCCAGUUCCUUUUUCUUUUUUUUUUUUAACUUAUUUUCCAAGUUUUGUUUUUAUUUGGGAUGGGUCUCUCUAAAUUGCCAAGUUGCCCAGGCUGGGCUCAAACUCGCGACCUCCUUGCCUCAGCCUCCCAAAGCUCGAGGGUGACACCGCCAGCCCCGGGUGCUCCACACCUCUGCAGAUGUUUGUCUUAGCCCUUUGGUCUUAUUCUGACUCAGUCCGAAACACCCAGCAGAAGAGUCUAACCAAAGAGAAAGAGGCUCCAAACUCCGCACCUGCUGUUACUGCCAGGCUCUGGGCGCCUCCAGCCCUUGUGGGCAGCUUCCUGUCCCACCAGGCUUCCACCUGUCCUUCUGCCUGCCGCAGGGUAUCCCCACUGUGACACUUGGAUGUACAUGCCAGCAUCCCUCGGGUGAAGAUCUAACUUCCUGUACAGGUUUGUGUUAUCUUGAAGACAGUCACUAUCAAGAUCUUCAGGUCUACAAAGGAAAGGCGGAGGUGCUGAGCCCUUCAUAACCUGAACCCAGGAAAGGAAGACACCCAGGGAGGCAGGAGGCUGUCUACAACUCUUACUAUGUGGAAAGACCUGCCUGGGAUGGAUCCCAAAGAAGUCAGGCCCAGAAUAUCGGCCGGCCGGCAGUUUUAUGGGGUCGCAACCAGGAGGUGCAGAAGCAGAAGCAGAGUAUUUGGCCGUCUUUGGUUGACUCUACCGCUCUGAGCCAAGCUACGCUCACCUGUGCUAUUAUUAGAGCAAACAUUGCACUCACUCCUGACAACUGCAGAUGUGUCUGUCUUCUGAAGACCAACGUUCAGAAAUUAGUGCAACACAGACUCUGCCUUAGGCUUCAGUGACUUGCUGAUGUCCUGAUUUUCCAAAACAACUGAUCAUCAAAGGAUAACAGUCUUCACACAACAGAACCGGAUGUUUCUUGUCUCCUUUACAUCAGUCAGGGUGAGAAUUCAGUCCCUGGCUGGGCAAGACCAAUGCCCACUCUUAGCCUAAAGCAGCUGUAAGAAGAGACCACUGGACCCUGUAACCCUCAGGAAUAAGGGACCAAAGCCUCAGGGGGAAGUAGGAAGAAAUAAAGGAAACUCACUCAAAAAAAUGUCCUCCAUGUCUUCAAGACACAGUAGGCCUGGGCUCAUGCUUCCCCUGAAAAUUACACUUCCUCCUGCAGAAAGGGAGCGGCAGAUCUCAGCUUUGCACAAAGAUGAGUGGUUUGCAUUCUAGCAGCUUCCAGGUGGACAACCAGACAGACAUUAAGGAUGCACAGCCUGGAUACCCAUCUUGAGGACCCCCAAGUCCACACAAAACCCCUACUCCAGACCACAGAUGCCUCUCUUGAGGCCUGCACUCUAUUCUCACUGGACACAUGUCCCUUUUCAUUUCUGCCCAAUAAACCUCUAUUAUGCAUCUCA